ACAACGCUCUCCAGCGUCUCCUCGGAGCCCGUGUGCUACUUUUCUCCUCUCGCUGAGUCGUUGCUGAGCUCCAAGUGCUUGGUGAAUCCCACUCUGAAGCUCUCAAUGCCGCUCGCCAGCUUGUCACCAUGAGAUGAGACCAUGAGAAGAGGGUGAGCGCCACUGCGUGCAUAGAAUCGAUCAUCGGAAAGUCGAAUCUCAAGCACUUCUUUGUGCCCACGCAGGACGCUAAUCUUCGAAUGAUUUCUUGUGCUCUUAAGCAUUCAUUCAGGACAUGCUAAGCAUUGGUGGAAGGGUGCAUGGUUUGGGAAAUAAUUGCUCUGAUGAAAUUUAUUUGAAGCUACGCACUAGUACAGAGAUACUUAGCAAGCAGUGGUACAUUUGUGGGAAUGUGUUGACUGAAGCUGAUGUCCGCUUGUUUGUCACUCUUAUAAGAUUUGAUGAGGUA